GGGCUUAGGUUGUGCAGUUAAAGCUCGUAGUUGAAUUUCUGGUCAAUUGUAGUCUUGGCUUCGGUCGGGCUAUGGUUGGUCAUCCGUUUGCAAGCUGCUCUCGGCCUUCACUGGUUCGGAGUAGUGAGCUGACAUUUUACUUUGAAAAAAUUAGAGUGUUUCAGGCAGGCUUUCGCCCGAAUACAUUAGCAUGGAAUAAUGGAAUUGGACUUAGGUUCAUUUGGUUGGUUAUUGGAUCUGAGUAAUGGUUAAUAGGGACAGUUGGGGGCAUUAGUAUUUAAUUGUCAGAGGUGAAAUUCUUGGAUUUAUUAAAGACUAACUUAUGCGAAAGCAUUUGCCAAGGAUGUUUUCAUUAAUCAAGAACGAAAGUUAGGGGAUAAAAGACGAUCAGAUACCGUUGUAUUCUUAACUAUAAACUAUACCGACUCGGAAUUGGUAGGGUAUUUUAGCUCUAUCAGCACCGUAAGUGAAAACAAAGUCUUUGGGUUCUGGGGGGAGUAUAGUCGCAAGGCUGAAACUUAAAGGAAUUGACGGAAGGGCACCACCAGGAGUGGAACCUGCGGCUUAAUUUGACUCAACACGGGGAAACUUACCAGAUCAAAACAUGGGUGGGAUUGACAGAUUGAGAGCUCUUUCUUGAUUCUAUGGGAGGUGGUGCAUGGCCGUUCUUAGUUGGUGGAGUGAUUUGUCUGGUUAAUUCCGUUAACGAACGAGACCUUAACCUGCUAACUAGUCUCUUAGUGCAUAACUGGGAGUACUUCUUAGAGGGACUAUCAGAUUUAAACUGAUGGAAGUUUGAG
rnacentral:rRNA from 1 species